rnacentral:rRNA from 1 species
AGAGUUUGAUCCUGGCUCAGGACGAACGCUGGCGGCGUGCCUAAUACAUGCAAGUAGAACGCUGAAGAGAGGAGCUUGCUCUUCUUGGAAGAGUUGCGAACGGGUGAGUAACGCGUAGGUAACCUGCCUUGUAGCGGGGGAUAACUAUUGGAAACGAUAGCUAAUACCGCAUAACAGUAGAUGUUGCAUGACAUUUGCUUAAAAGGUGCAAUUGCAUCACUACCAGAUGGACCUGCGUUGUAUUAGCUAGUUGGUGGGGUAACGGCUCACCAAGGCGACGAUACAUAGCCGACCUGAGAGGGUGAUCGGCCACACUGGGACUGAGACACGGCCCAGACUCCUACGGGAGGCAGCAGUAGGGAAUCUUCGGCAAUGGACGAAAGUCUGACCGAGCAACGCCGCGUGAGUGAAGAAGGUUUUCGGAUCGUAAAGCUCUGUUGUAAGUCAAGAACGAGUGUGAGAGUGGAAAGUUCACACUGUGACGGUAGCUUACCAGAAAGGGACGGCUAACUACGUGCCAGCAGCCGCGGUAAUACGUAGGUCCCGAGCGUUGUCCGGAUUUAUUGGGCGUAAAGCGAGCGCAGGCGGUUUGAUAAGUCUGAAGUUAAAGGCUGUGGCUCAACCAUAGUUCGCUUUGGAAACUGUCAAACUUGAGUGCAGAAGGGGAGAGUGGAAUUCCAUGUGUAGCGGUGAAAUGCGUAGAUAUAUGGAGGAACACCGGUGGCGAAAGCGGCUCUCUGGUCUGUAACUGACGCUGAGGCUCGAAAGCGUGGGGAGCGAACAGGAUUAGAUACCCUGGUAGUCCACGCCGUAAACG